rnacentral:rRNA from 1 species
AUUGAACGCUGGCGGCAGGCCUAACACAUGCAAGUCGAGCGGAUGAAGGGAGCUUGCUCCUGGAUUCAGCGGCGGACGGGUGAGUAAUGCCUAGGAAUCUGCCUGGUAGUGGGGGAUAACGUCCGGAAACGGGCGCUAAUACCGCAUACGUCCUGAGGGAGAAAGUGGGGGAUCUUCGGACCUCACGCUAUCAGAUGAGCCUAGGUCGGAUUAGCUAGUUGGUGGGGUAAAGGCCUACCAAGGCGACGAUCCGUAACUGGUCUGAGAGGAUGAUCAGUCACACUGGAAGUGAGACACGGUCCAGAAUCCUACGGGAGGCAGCAGUGGGGAAUAUUGGAGAAUGGGCGAAAGACUGAUCCAGCAAUGCCGCGUGUGUGAAGAAGGUCUUCGGAUUGUAAAGCACUUUAAGUGGGGAGGAAGGGCAGUAAGUUAAUACCUUGCUGUUUUGACGUUACCAACAGAAUAAGCACCGGCUAACUUCGUG